CAGGGAGUUAUAUGAUGAAAUGUGGACUAUGGGAAGAUCAUCCUAGCUGCAGGGUGGAGAAAGGAAUCCAGAUAAAAGAACAACACGGGGGGCCUAUGAGUGGCCGUGUAGGUGGCUAAUUCAUUAAUUUCUGGUAAACAAUGAGUGACUUAAAAUAGAGGCAUGUCAGGUGUGAUGGAGAGAAAUGGAUGGAUUUGAGAGAUUUUAAGGAGGCAGAAUCCAUAAGACUUGACUGAUUGGAUAUGGGCCUUCAGGGGAAAAAAGGAGUCAAACUCAGAUUUGUCUUUGAGCCAGAGCAGGCUGACAGUGGUGUGAAGGAUGGAUCUGCAAGAGUGUCAGACUGAAACAAGGGAGCCAAUUAGAGCCGUGAUAAACAAUGUAUUUUUGUAUAGGGACCCACUCAGGAAAAAAAGGAAAGAAGUUUAUAACCGUACUCUUUGUUCAAAUGAAAAUAGCAUUAUAAAAUUAUGUGAAAAUAAUAUUGUAUGUUCUUAUAAUUUAAAUUACCUUUGUUAGAAGAAUAUCAGUGAGAAAAUUGGCCCUGCUUUUAGCCACUUAAAUAUAUUAGUAUCUGGGGCAAGUUUAGACAUAGCACUAGGGAGACAGCUUGCCAUUUUUUGGUUCAUUUUUGUGUAGUGCGUUGGAUCUCCAGAGAAUAUUCUAGAGUGUGUUCCUUUUCUAUCCUUGAUGCCACCCUGAAGGCAGGAAUUAUUGCCUUUCUGGAAUAAAGAAGCAAAAAUGGAGGCUCAGAGAAGUACAAUGGCUUCACUAGGAUGUGCAUUCCAUUCAUUGCUGAGUUUCCUGAGGUUGCUGCCAUUUCUUGCCAUGCAUCACACAAAGAUAAAAUCAGUGUGCCUGCUCCCUGCUUCUUUCAGCAAUGUGUGUCUGUGGCUGCGGGAUUGUCUGUCUGCUCAGGAGAGAGAAAAUGAGCCAGAUAAAGAUGCCUUAUUAUCAGGGAGCCCCAACACCACCUCUUUCCGCCCAAGGUGCUGGCCACCUGAGCAUUUUUGCCAACUGAACACAUUCAGGCCACUUCUGAGAGCCCUGCUCUGGGCCAUCCUAUCAAAUAGGCUUUGAUUUUUGGCUACCUGGAGCACAGGACCUGGGCAGGACAGAGGUGAUUUCUCCAAACGGAGAUUCCUGUGCUGUGUAGGGUCCGAAAAUCUGCCAGCCAAUUAGACCUCGGUUUCUGGGUUGUAUUUUGUAGCCAAAUAAAGUAAAUGUAGCUCAAAGAGCCCCAUUUCCCAAAUCAGUGAUGCCAUCACCUCCGGGGAAGAUGACUCAGCCCUGAACUGGAGCAGAAGUAAGGAGAGGAGGAAGGGGAAGGGAGGGCAGUGGAGGAGAGGGGAGGGUUCUGUUUUGAAACUGCCCCUCAGGCAUUGUGAAGCCAGGCAUUCUCUGGCUACACAAUAGCCUCCUUUUUGACAAUCACAGAGUUAGGUUUCAACAUACAAUGAGGAAGGAGCUUGUUUCUUAAUCUGGCGAUUUAGAAAUUAAAGAUGUAAUUAAGUAUGAUUAUGGAUAAGCUUGAAAUAUAUAUUCAGCCAUUUCAGGUUUAUUCAUUAGUCUCUUUGCAAGCACUUGGUAACCCUCUUUUCCCCCUUGCUUUACUGAAUUAUAAUUGAUACAUAACAUUGUGUAAGUUUAAGGCAUGCACGCUGUUGAUUUGAUAUACUCAUCUUUUGCAAAAUGAUUACCACCAUCCUGUUAGCUAACACCUUCAUCACAUAAUUACCAUUCUGUUGUUGUGGUGAGAACAUUUAAGAUCUACACUCUUAGCACCUUUUAAGUAUAUAAUACAGAAUUAUUAACUGUCAUCGCCAUGUUAUGCAUUAAAUUCCCCAGACUCAUUUGUCCUGUAAUGAAGUUUAUCCCCUUUGACCAACAUUUCCCCAGUUGUUCCCAGCUCUCAGCCCCUGGUAAUCACAGGGAUGUAUCUACUCUCUGUUUCUAUGAGUUUGGCAUUUUUAGAUUCUAUAUAUAAGUGAUAUCACACAGUAUUUAUGUUUUCUCUGACUUAUUUCAUUUAGAAUAAUGCCCUCAAGGUCUAUCCAUGUUGUUGUAAAUGGCAGUAUUUCCUUCUUAUAAUUUAUAUAUAUAUAAAUAUAUAAAUUAUAUAUAUAAUUUAUUAUAUUGUCAUUCAUUGU
rnacentral:lncRNA from 1 species